rnacentral:rRNA from 1 species
GCCGGAGGAAGGUGGGACGACGUCAAGUCAGCAUGACCUUUAUAUCCAGGGCUACACACACGCUACAAUGGUCAGUACAAUGGGUUGCCAAGCCGCGAGGCGGAGCCAAUCCUAAAAAGCUGGCCUCAGUUCAGAUUGCAGUCUGAAACUCGACUGCAUGAAGUCGGAGUUGCUAGUAAACGCAGGUCAGCUAUACUGCGUUGAAUACGUUCCCGGGGCUU